AGAGCAAUAAACAAAUUUAAUUGUGUAUAAUAACAUUACGAUAAUUUAAAUUGAAAAUAAAAUUCGUACGAACCUCGAUUUGCACAAAGCUGACCGUUACACUAUACACUCUGUGUCUGGACGAUUUCAAAAUUGUUCAUUCAAUUGCAUAGGCAUUUUUAAAGCAGAUACACUCUGUAUACGGCGGUUUUAAUCGACGUCAUGUCGUUUCAAAUACUAAAAUAUAUAUAAUACGACUUAUACUGCGCAUUUAAACGUUAACGACUCCGUACAACUGAAAUACGUCUUCGACGUCGACGCUGAUAUAGUACCUAUUUAUG